rnacentral:rRNA from 1 species
UACGUAGGGACCAAGCGUUGUUCGGAUUUACUGGGCGUAAAGGGCGCGUAGGCGGCUUAACAAGUCACUUGUGAAAUCUCCGGGCUUAACUCGGAAAGGUCAACUGAUACUGUGCGACUAGAGUGCGGAAGGGGCAACUGGAAUUCUCGGUGUAGCGGUGAAAUGCGUAGAUAUCUGGAGGAACACCCGUGGCGAAAGCGAGUUACUGGGACGGUACUGACACUGAGGAACGAAAGCCUGGGGAGCGAAAGGG